CCUACGGGUGGCAGCAGUGGGGAAUAUUGCGCAAUGGGCGAAAGCCUGACGCAGCGACGCCGCGUGAGGGAUGAAGGUCUUCGGAUCGUAAACCUCUGUCAGCAGGGAAGAACGGUCACUGUGCUAAUCAGCAGUGAAUUGACGGUACCUGCAAAGGAAGCACCGGCUAACUCCGGGCCAGCAGCCGCGGUAAUACGGAGGGUGCGAGCGUUAAUCGGAAUUACUGGGCGUAAAGCGCUCGUAGGAGGUAUGUCAAGUCAAGGGUGAAAUCCCCGCGCUCAACGUGGGAACUGACUUUGAAACUGGCAAACUGGAGUGUGUGAGAGGAUAGUGGAAUUCCAGGUGUAGGAGGGAAAGCCGUAGAUAUCUGGAGGAACAUCAGUGGCGAAGGCGACUAUCUGGCACAUAACUGACGCUGAGGAGCGAAAGCGUGGGUAGCAAACAGGAUUAGAUACCCUUGUAGUC
rnacentral:rRNA from 1 species